UCUCGUAAUUUUUAGCGAUAGGGUCACACCUGAUCCCAUCCCGAACUCAGAAGUUAAGCCUAUCAGCGCCGAUGAUACUGCAUAGCGGGAAAGUAGGUCAUUGCGAGAA
rnacentral:rRNA from 1 species